UGCCUGGGCUGGGAGCAGGAGCAGCACCCUCGGUCUUGCAUGAUCUCUACUGUUGUUGUACCUGGGUCGGUGAUAUAAAGAAAUCCACAAGGAACCAAAGAGGGAGUUGAUGAAGUCUUCUGCUGGACCAGCUGUUGUAGAGGGAGUUGAUGAAGUCGUUUGCUGGACCAGCUGUUGUAUCUGUAAGCAAAGGUUUUUUCAAUGCCAAGGCUGGCCCUGCCUGCUGUGUAGCUGCACAAGUGGCUUCAUCUGCCCUCCAGUUUCUUUUCUGAUGUCUGGAACAAUGGAUCACGGCUGCUUCUUGCAGGGUCCAUGCGGCCUCCAGUAGCUUCAGUAUCUGGUCCUUGUGCUGGAUCUUCUUCCCGGUGGAGGUCAGGAAUUUUCUCUCCCCACAUGCUUCAUGCACAUGCUGUGUAGCGAAGGCAUACCUCUUGGCAGUCAUGCUUUUGCGGGGAGCCUCAGGAUCCGUUUCUGACAUCAGGGUGGCAGGGUUCAGGCUGGUGGCAGCGCUGAAUUUCACUCAUGGCUGGUCUAGGAACAGAGCUUGAUAGCAGGUUAGGUGGGCAUUGGACUUGCCCCAGUGAUAGCUUGUCUGCUUUUCUUACCAGCUGUGUCACAGGUGCUAUUGUCCUCAGGCAUUUUUGUCCAUCCAGCAGCCACUGGGUCCAUUAUUUGACAAAAUUGGCGACGGGUCUGUGCCAUAGCCCAAGUUUUUGGGUCAACACUCCCUGGCUUAUGCCUUUAAGUUCAUCUACAAGCAGUCUAAAUGGCUUGUUGACAAAACAGCCUUUCUUCCAGUGUCCUUUCUCUUUGCAGUAAAAUCACUGAUCUUUUCCUACCCUUAGCCUAAUCUUUCUGACUUUUUUUUUCUUUCUGAGCACUUUUUUUUUUUCUCAAAGUCUAAUGUCAAAACAUUUGCCAGCUUCUUAAAAACCCUCUGAGCAAUCUCUCAGCUUUCUUUUAAAUCUUUCUGUCUUCUGUAACUUUCUUCUAAUAUCUGGGAUGGAUUUGAGCAACAAAAGGCCAAGUUUAGUGCCAUUCUAUUUACCUUAGAGAGAUUUGUGGGACAUUUCACUGCCCCUUGGAGACACCCUAGGAGAAACUGGCAGUAAGAUUGAAGGGGUGUCACAGCUGCAGUCGUUCAUCUGUGACCAGCAAAACAUACACAAAACCAAAUUAGGAGUUCACUAAAAUUGAUAAUCCAAUGACUAGAAAUGUCAUAUAUAUCUUUAUAUAAUUUUAGAAGGCCUUUUUAACAAACAGGUAUACCAGUAUAAAAUGACAAUUUUAGACUAAAUACUUUUGCUAAAUCAGGACUUGCCAAACAUCAAAUCUUUUAUCAGACCAAUAACACCAUUUGCCAACAUAAUUUAUCAAGAAUAAAUCUCUGACAGUGUCUUAAAACAAACCAGAUAAUUUUUAAAAGCAGAAAGAUAUAAAGAGGAAAACCAGAGCAAAAGCCUCAGGCUAGAAAAUCAUUAAUAUAACCACUGUUAUUUUUCACUCACCUAGGCCAUUUCUACUUCUUUAGUUGAGAAGGUAUUUUAAAACUUUUACAUGUCAAUAACCUUUCUGCCAUUUGCCACACAGGAGAUACACAUCUUCAGUGUGUGAUACCUAACUUGAGAGGCUCUGUUUGAAUUUUAAAGAACAUAUAUUUAAAGGUUAUCUUAUUUAACCUCCUGUAGCAAUUCCUAUAAGCCAGGAUCUUCAAACCAAAUUCAGUUUAACUAAAUUUUUCUUUAAACUUUAAACAAACUCCAGUUACUUAGACAGUUAACACACAUUAGUGACAAUGCUUUUCAAAACAUCUCCAGUGUCAGACAAAUGCCAAAUCUGCUGUGGACCAAUAUCCACAAAACAGUUCAUGGGGCAUUUUGGGGGGUGCUCCAAAAUGUCUCGGACUUUUUCAGCUAAAUACAUAGAUAAUUUGCAUUUCAAUUUGGAGAUGAAGAAUUUUCACCUUAAAUACUUACAAUUUUACUUUAAAUCUUCAGCUACCCUAGCAAAUUAAUUUACAGUUAUAUUACCACAUAAGAACUGUGUUGGAAACUCCUUUUUUAACUUUGAUAAGAAUGCAGCUUCAAAGCUACUUACACUUUUAAACUUAAAAUUAAUGCUUCUCGGCCAUUUGCUGAAACAAAACAUUAUUUAGAUUUUUUUUACAUCCAUCCCAAGGCUAUAAGCUGGUGCCUUGACUUUCUUCACGGUAAUCAAAGCUAGAGGGGUGGAUGGUGUUUGGCCCAUUCCUGCAAAGUGAAAGCAAACGGGAACACAGACAAGACAGACAGACAGACAAGCACGCCACAACAAAGAACCCCUUGACCAGUUCUCACAGAUUGUCUAGACAGCUUCAGAACUAACCCCGGAUUCCACGUCGGGGUCUCCAGAUGGACCCUUGGCUCUGCACUCUCUGGUGGCUCUCCGGCCCCUGAGACUUCUAGCAGACUGAACAGCGUCCAACGCCAUGUUGGUCCCAGAGGGUAGAGAGGAACAUCUUCUGCCUCCACCCUCGCGGCGGUCAUAAACAGGGCAUCCCCCUAGACCCUUGCCGCCCCCCAGACUUUAAGGCCUUAGUACAGACUUUCCGGAAUACCUUACCUGAAGGCUCUACACCUUGGUGCGUUGAGGAAUUUCAAUAAAAUCCUGGACGUGCCCGCAUAUGUUGUACCUGGGUCCGUGAUAUAAAGAAAUCCACAAGGCACCAAAGAUAAUGUAAAAGCAAAGAGCCUUU